AGUCACGAGCAUGAGGAAUAUGUAUUCUUAAACUGUAUAUAAUAAGUCGUACAGAUUUGUAGGAAUUUAGGUAAGUGGAAUAUUCCUAGCAGACCAAACUUGAUCUGAAGUCUUGAAGAUCUUACACCGUGUUUUAUUACCAUGUUAUCCGUGACUUUUGUGCGACAUGGAGAAACGGUGGCAAAUGUGGGUCGCAUAAUACAAGGCCACUCCCAUGGCGAACUGACAGAAAGAGGUAUUUCCAUGGCGGAACAUUUAGGUCGUCACCUCUCCGAGGAGAAAUUCACCCGGGUUUUUUCCUCCGAUUUGAAGAGAUGUCACGAUACGACGCGGCACAUCUUAAAGCACUCCAGCGAUGGAGACGUACCAGAAGAUCUUAUCGUUUUGGACCAAGUCCUGAGAGAAGUGUGUUGCGGUGACCUUGAACUCCAGCCGGAAUCGGAACUACUGAAGAUUUCACGCCAGACCGGACUUUACUUUCCAUUCGUGCAAAUUCCGGGUGGCGAAAGCUUUCAAGAUGUGAAAGCUAGGACGGGAGAGUUCUUUAAUCUGCUUUGCAAACUCGUCGACGCCACGGAGGGCGGAGAGGAGAAUGUCCUUGUAGUGACGCAUGGGGGUUGGUUGAUGUGUUUCUUGCACUGUUUGGUGGACCUUAAGAAAACCGAGGCCAUUGACCUUAUCGAUUUUGAAGAGAAAUUUUGCCGCUUGCGGGCACAUAACACGGCCACGACCAAGAUUACAAUCAACAAGUUGGGUGACAACGAUAAGAGGAAAGUUGUCAUGAAGCAGGUCCAUGCCACGGAACAUUUACCGGAACAUUUAAAGUAGAAAUAGAGGGUACUUUCUUUAACCAGGUGGUUCUGUAGAUAUUAUUACUUGCAUACCUACUUGACCAUAAUUUUACAAAUUUUGCAAAUGAUCAAGUAACUAAUAAGCAAUUUUAUGUUUGUACCGAUUGAUAAUAUUUUGUACUGAUGACAGGCCUUUAAAUAGGAAAUAUAAUAUCUUUGGCUGAUCAAGACUUGCAUGUGCAUGUAUUUUAGUAUGCACAUAUUUCAUGCAUGUAUACACAUAAUAUAAACGAAGUGUAGAAACUUUGAAUUCCUUCCACUACCAUUGGAACCUGAUUGGAAACAAAUAGGUACGGGAAAGUGUUAAGUAUUAACACUAAUAAAAUCGUCCUAACGACUGUGUAUGCAAAUGUGGAACCUACCUAAAACCCCACGGCGUUCCUGAAUUUUUUUUACUCUCGCAAAGUUAUUUUGCCCUUCGCAAGUUUUCGAGAUAUGCGAAGAUUGUCGUGAGAACGUUCAAUGUCAAAUUAUCAAGAUGUGAGAUCCCAAAGUCAAUACAAAAAGAGGAGAAAUUUUAGGAAAAUAUUAGCUGUGCUGUGGGAAAAGUGCAAAUUCUAACUAAUGUACUUCGUUUAACCUAUAUAAAUAUGUAUGAUGAUAAAUCGUCAGACAUGCAUUUAAUUAUUUAUGCAAGAUAUAAAAUAAUGCAUGAUUAUUGUGGCUUUAUCAAAAUCGGAGCUAUGUAGACCGCCGCUGGCGUCAUCGCAUUGUACGUGACACCACCCACCCAUUAUUUCAAAACAUGAUCAUGCACGUCAAAGUCUAACUAAUCCGACCCAUCUGCAUAUUUAGAUAUCUAUAAAGAUAAAUACACGUGCAAAAAAGGUGACCAAACCCGUGACAGAGUAAGUAAGUAUGUACAUAAUUUAUACAUUUAUACGUUUAAUAUACGUCUUUGCGUCAAAAAAUCUUCUCAAUAACCUGAACAAUGGCUAGAGCAAAACAAAACUCCCAUGUCCAUCAUCAUCAUCCUCAUGAUGCAUAUUUGUCUGUGAUUCGCACGAUAUAUAUGAAUGGAACCUGCUUUUAAUAAAUGCAUACAUAGUUUAGUUACAAUGUUUCACUCCAUAACUAAAUAUGCAUAUCCUUCCCUGUUAGAGUUUCCUCACAAUCAGCGCAUUCCAUUCCUCGCAAAUAAAACGAGUCACGAGGAUGACCAAUGUUCCCACGCAGUAUAAAAUAAGGCGUACAGAUUUGUGCGAAUUCAGUGCAAUCUAAUCUUCCUAGCUACAUAGCUAGAGCCCCAAAAUUUCUGUAAAUUAUUAGAAAUCUUACAAGUUGUAUUGUCAUGCUGUCAGUCACCUUUGUACGACAUGGGGAGACGGUCGGCAACGUGGCCCGCAUAAUACAGAGCCACACCCAUGGCGAACUGACGGAGAGGGGUAUUUCCAUGGCGGAACAUUUAGGUCGCCAUCUCUCCGAGGAGAAAUUCACCCGGGUUUUUUCCUCCGAUUUAAAGAGAUGUCACGAUACGACGCUUCACAUCUUGAAGCAAUCCAAGGAUGCUGACGUGCAAGAAGAUUGCAUCGUUUUGGACCAAAUCCUGCGAGAAAUGUUUUGCGGUGAUCUGGAGCACCAACCGCAAUCGGAAAUGUUCAAACUCUUUAAUCAGACUGGACUUCACUUUCCACACGUGCAAAUUCCGGGUGGCGAAAGUUUCCAAGAUGUGAAGGCCCGGACAGAAAAGUUCUUUAACGUAAAGAAUUUUAUAUUAAACCUGUGCCUACAUACAUAGUUAGUUGGUAUGGUUUGGUUAAAUGAAAUUCUACUGGGUCGGCAAAAGAUGCUAUGCAACCUUGUCGAUGCCAAGGAGGGCAGGGAAGAAAACGUUCUCGUGGUGACGCAUGGCGCCUGGCUGAUGUGUUUCUUGCACUGUUUGGUGGACCUUAAGAAAAACGAGGCCAUUGACCUUAUCGACUUUGAAGAGAAAUUUUGCUCCAUGCCGGCACACAACACGGCCACGACCAAGAUGACGAUCAACAAGCAGGCUGACAACGGGAGGAGAAAAGUUGUCGUGAAACAGGUCCAUGCCACGGACCACUUACCGGAAGAUUUAAAAUAGGGGUUUCUUUCUUUGCCCAGUUAGCUCAACAGAUUUACACUUAUUCACUGUAAUUUGUCAAAUUAUGUAAAUUAAAAAAUAACUACAUGCAUAAUAUGCAAUAUUACGUACCAAUUGUUUGUGACAAUUAAGAAAUUUUUUGGCCGAUUAUGUAAGACUAACUCCACGUAAUGGAAACCCAGUGAUAAAUAUGAUUAAUCAAGUUCACUUCAACAUUACCUUGACGACUUAAUAAGUAAAUGAAGAAAGUUUCUAAGUAUUUAUGAGAGAUUCGACA